ACUAUUUUGGCAGAAAAAUGUAAUGGUUUUAGGAAUCAUAAAUGUAUAAUGAUUUAUUAUAUAAGUAGUA
rnacentral:tRNA from 1 species